rnacentral:rRNA from 1 species
UACAGAGGGGGCAAGCGUUGUUCGGAAUUACUGGGCGUAAAGCGUGCGUAGACGGCUAUCUAAGUCGGGUGUGAAAGCCCCGGGCUCAACCUGGGAAUUGCAUUCGAGACUGAAUAGCUAGGGUGCGGUAGAGGGAAGCGGAAUUUCCGGUGUAGCGGUGAAAUGCGUAGAUAUCGGAAGGAACAUCAGUGGCGAAAGCGGCUUCCUGGACCAGCACCGACGUUCAGGCACGAAAGCGUGGGGAGCAAACAGGA